rnacentral:lncRNA from 1 species
UCUCAGUGAGAUUUAUAAAAACGACAUAUGAAAACAAUAACAUCAUAAAUAUCAUAAGUUCAUAUAUAAUCUGUAACAUAGUACAUGUCAUACUUUUAUAUUUCAAUCAUCAAACAACAAUUAUCCCUUUUUAUCAGCUUACUAGUAUCCGUGGGAUCCAUAGGGGUCCCCGUUACCCAUGAACCAUUCCCUUAACAAACUUAAUUUUCAGGACCGUCCCCAUACCGCGUCCGGUAUGGGCGCCAAACAAUAAACCUCAAUACCCCGUUCGGUAUGAGGGUGAAGCAGGCCGUCCCCAUACCCCGUUCGGUAUGAGUGCCAAAAUAUUUAAAGUCUCCAUACCCCGUCCGGUAUGAGACAACGUUCCCGGUAGGGUUCCUUAUGGACUCGGUCCGUCCACCAUCUCCCAAGAUAUUUAGUGAGGCUGUCAACUUAUCCAUUUAUCAAUUCACAUACAUUUUCUAUUUUUUUCUUAGUUUUCCAUUUCCCACAUAAACAUGAAUACUUAAACAAUUAACGAGCACCCAACAAGGUAAGCAUAUUAUUAGAUUCACGAAAUCAGGUCGAAAUAAAGUAAGCAGUGAUUCAUGCAUUCAAAACCAUAGAAUAAAUAAAACAGAUACCAUACUGCAUUUAA